rnacentral:rRNA from 1 species
UACGAAGGGGGCGAGCGUUGUUCGGAAUUACUGGGCGUAAAGGGCGCGCAGGCGGCUCUGAAAGUCAGAUGUGAAAGCCCCGGGCUUAACCUGGGGACUGCGCUUGAGACGUGUGGGCUUGAGUGCGGAAGAGGGAAGCGGAAUUUCCGGUGUAGCGGUGAAAUGCGUAGAUAUCGGAAGGAACACCAGUGGCGAAAGCGGCUUCCUGGUCCAGCACCGACGUUCAGGCACGAAAGCGUGGGGAGCAAACAGG